UACGAAGGGGGCUAGCGUUGCUCGGAAUUACUGGGCGUAAAGCGCACGUAGGCGGCUUUCUAAGUCGGGGGUGAAAUCCUGGAGCUCAACUCCAGAACUGCCUUCGAUACUGGAGAGCUCGAGUCCGGGAGAGGUGAGUGGAACUGCGAGUGUAGGGGUGAAAUUCGUAGAUAUUCGCAAGAACACCAGUGGCGAAAGCGGCUUCCUGGUCCAGCACCGACGUUCAGGCACGAAAGCGUGGGGAGCAAACAGG
rnacentral:rRNA from 1 species